UACAGAGGUCUCAAGCGUUGUUCGGAUUCAUUGGGCGUAAAGGGUGCGUAGGCGGCGCGGUAAGUCGGGUGUGAAAUCUUGGAGCUUAACUCCGAAACUGCAUUCGAUACUGCCGUGCUUGAGGACUGGAGAGGAGACUGGAAUUUACGGUGUAGCGGUGAAAUGCGUAGAUAUCGUAAGGAAGACCAGUGGCGAAGGCGGGUCUCUGGGCCUUUCCUGACGCUGAGACGCGAAAGCGUGGGGAGCGAACCGG
rnacentral:rRNA from 1 species